rnacentral:rRNA from 1 species
UGGGGAAUAUUGCACAAUGGGCGCAAGCCUGAUGCAGCCAUGCCGCGUUUAUGAAGAAGGCCUUCGGGUUGUAAAGUACUUUCAGUCGGGAGGAAGGUGGUAAGGUUAAUAACCUUAUCAAUUGACGUUACCGACAGAAGAAGCACCGGCUAACUCCGUGCCAGCAGCCGCGGUAAUACGGAGGGUGCAAGCGUUAAUCGGAAUUACUGGGCGUAAAGCGCACGCAGGCGGUUGAUUGAGUCAGAUGUGAAAUCCCCGGGCUUAACCCGGGAAUUGCAUCUGAUACUGGUCAGCUAGAGUCUUGUAGAGGGGGGUAGAAUUCCAUGUGUAGCGGUGAAAUGCGUAGAGAUGUGGAGGAAUACCGGUGGCGAAGGCGGCCCCCUGGACAAAGACUGACGCUCAGGUGCGAAAGCGUGGGGAGCAAACAGG